ACUUGUAUCUUUAUUCAGUGUCCGAUAAAGACAGGUUGUCAGGGGAGGUCGGUGUGAGAGCCCUGUGCUACAGGUCAAUGAGGAAGAGUGAGGCACCACACAGACUAAGUAUUAAGCUUCUGGAUUCAUCGCCGGUGGUACUGACACAUAGCCAGUGCUCCUGUGUGGCAGGCGCUGUUAUGUGCAAUCACACAGUGGCAUUGCUCUUCCAAACAGCACACUACUCACAACUCAGAGUGCCGGUUGUCCCCCUGUGCAUAGCUGCACAGAAUCUGAACAGCAAUGGCACAAGCCACGGACAGUGGGUGUGAAGCCAGGACCCAUCAACUCCAUGAUCUUCACUAAGCCGGUACCAAAUAGGAUGGCCCAGACUGGAGUACGGUAAUUAGAUUUGUAAAAUUUGGUUUCCUGUGUUACAAAUGCAUGUUGCUAUUUGUUCAUACAUACAUGUGUCAGAAUAGGUAUUAAUUUACAUACAACAUUACACUUUCUGAAGACGGCUAACUCAGUCAUGUACAUAUACAUCCCAGUCUCUAACUUAUGCACCACUGUUUUACACCUUUUAGUUUUUAGUUUAGUUGUUGUUCAGUAUAAU